rnacentral:rRNA from 1 species
GAUGAACGCUAGCUACAGGCUUAACACAUGCAAGUCGCGGGGCAGCAUGGGGGUUGCUUGCAAUCCCCGAUGGCGACCGGCGCACGGGUGAGUAACGCGUAUCCAACCUGCCCUUCACCACGGGAUAACCCGGCGAAAGUCGGACGAAUACCGUAUGUUGUCCAUUGACGGCAUCCGAUUUGGACGAAAGGUUUGGCGGUGAAGGAUGGGGAUGCGUCCGAUUAGCUGGACGGCGGGGUGACGGCCCACCGUGGCGACGAUCGGUAGGGGUUCUGAGAGGAAGGUCCCCCACACUGGAACUGAGACACGGUCCAGACUCCUACGGGAGGCAGCAGUGAGGAAUAUUGGUCAAUGGGCGUAAGCCUGAACCAGCCAAGUAGCGUGCAGGAGGACGGCCCUAUGGGUUGUAAACUGCUUUUAUGCGGGGAUAAAGUGGCCCACGUGUGGGUUUUUGCAGGUACCGCAUGAAUAAGGACCGGCUAAGUCCGUG